rnacentral:misc_RNA from 1 species
CGCUUUCGGGCGCGAAUUGAGGCGAGAACCGCGUUAAUCGAAACGGCUUGAACCGGGCAAAAGUCGUAACAAGGUUUCCGUAGGUGAACCUGCGGAAGGAUCAUUAUUGAGCCUACUCUCAUACAUGUGAGUAUUAUGAUCACUGUUCGGAACGCGGCACUGUCGUUUCUAGGUGUCGCGACCGUUCGACAACGGCUUUGAAUGGUUUCUAUAGGUGUCUGGAGCAGCUGUAUGAGCGUGGCUGUGGUGAAGGACAUUUGACAUCGCGUCUCGACGCGGUGAGAAUUGAAGAGGUCAGUCGGAGACCCGCCGUUCACAAACCCUACCAUUAACAAUUUUACACACGAUGACAAGCAUCGUUGAUGCUGUGUUAUACAACUGUUACCAAGUCUUAUCGGUGGAUCACUCGGUUCGUAGUUCGAUGAAAAACGGGGCAAAAACCGUUAUUUGGCGUGAAUUGCAGACAUAUUGAACGCUAAAAUUUUGAACGCAAAUGGCACUAUCAGGUUUAUAUCUGAUAGUAUGUUUGGUUGAGGGUCGACUAACACGUUACUUGCAGUCAGCGACUGUUUUUUCGACGAGCUAUGUACGUUCGUAUGUACCUCGUUCGGUGUGAACGUUCCCCCGGCACUGGGGGCGAUAGUGCAAUGGACAAGGCUUUUGUCGUGUCCGCUAUCACAUCGGUUCCGUGCGUUGAUGGCUUUGGCGUGUCUCUUGCCAGCUGACUUGUACGUAAUUUUUUGCGUAUGUAAGCUUCUUGAAGUCAGUGUUGCCAGCAAGCGUUUGAGCCUGUACGGUUCGGCGCGCGACGUAGCUGGAACUUCGUGUUCGAUGUUUUCGAAUGACGACUCA